rfam:Arabidopsis thaliana chromosome 5, complete sequence.
AUCGUUGACCCGGCCAAAUCGACUCACCAUUAACACUUCUUAACAGCUCUCCUAACAGCGUAACUAACAACUGUUUUUGUCCUUAAACCAACAAUAACGGCUGUUAGGCCAUGUUUUGUAACGGCUGUUAGGAACGCUGUUAAGGAGUGUUAACGGUGAGUAUAUUUGGCCGGGUCAACGAC